rnacentral:rRNA from 1 species
AACGAACGCUGGCGGCGUGUUUAAGACAUGCAAGUCGAACGGGUUGAAGUUGUAGCAAUACCGCUUCAACCAGUGGCGCACGGGUGCGUAAAACCUGAGUUACAUGCCCUGCAGCGGGGAAUAGCACGCCGAACGGCGGAUUAAUACCCCAUGGUCCCGCAAGGGUAAAGGUGGUGAAAGCUGCCGCUGCAGUAUGGGCCCGCGGCCUAUCAGCUAGUUGGCGGGGUAACGGCCCACCAAGGCGACGACGGGUAACGGGUCUGAGAGGAUGAUCCGGAACACUGGAACUGAGACACGGUCCAGACACCUACGGGUGGCAGCAGUCGAGAAUAAUUCACAAUGGGCGAAAGCCUGAUAGUGCAACGCCGCGUGGAGGAUGAAGGUCUUCGGGUUGUAAAGCACUUUUGUCCGGAAAGAAAUCUUCCAGAUUAAUACUCUGGGAGGAUGACGGUACCGGAAGAAUAAGCACCGGCUAACUUCGUGCCAGCCGCCGCUGUAACAC